AUGGUCGUUUUCUCUGUAAAACCCUUAUUCACCACCAUCUUUGUCGUUUCCCUCACUUUCCUUGUCGUUUUCACAUUGCUAUCGCCUCGUUACCCUUUCUCCCCAAAAUCGGAUUUCCGGAGAACCCUCACUAGGGGAGGUAGAUAUCAUGGAAUGGUGACCUUGCAAUCAAAUUGCUCUACCAUUAGAAAGCACUGGAUAUAUCAGAGUGGAUUGCUACGAUGGCCUCAACCAAAUAUGAAAAGAUGUGGGUGGUUGAAGACGACUCUUGAAUUUCAACUUCAGGACCCUAUGUUGAUGUUCGAUAUUCUUUUGCUUGUUUCUUGA